UAUUAUUUGAGAGAACGGGUUGACAUGUAUGAGGAAGAACUGUGUACCCUCUGUUGCAAUAUAUGAUCCUUUCGCCCCUGUUGAUCCGGCCAGAUUGGAGAGAUUAUUAGAACACUUAAGUCCACACAAGUAAGUCUUCAUACAUAUUGACCUGUUGAUUACUGUUUCUUUACCCCCUUUUUAUGUAUAUUAAAGUGUGUUGUUUGUUAGGG
rnacentral:lncRNA from 1 species